AGCGAACGCUGGCGGCAGGCUUAACACAUGCAAGUCGAGCGGGCGUAGCAAUACGUCAGCGGCAGACGGGUGAGUAACGCGUGGGAACAUACCUUUUGGUUCGGAACAACACAGGGAAACUUGUGCCAAUACCGGAUAAGCCCUUACGGGGAAAGAUUUAUCGCCGAAAGAUUGGCCCGCGUCUGAUUAGCUAGUUGGUGAGGUAACGGCUCACCAAGGCGACGAUCAGUAGCNGGUCUGAGAGGAUGAUCAGCCACAUUGGGACUGAGACACGGCCCAAACUCCUACGGGAGGCAGCAGUGGGGAAUAUUGGACAAUGGGCGCAAGCCUGAUCCAGCCAUGCCGCGUGAGUGAUGAAGGCCCUAGGGUUGUAAAGCUCUUUUGUGCGGGAAGAUAAUGACGGUACCGCAAGAAUAAGCCCCGGCUAACUUCGUGCCAGCCGCCGCGGUAAU
rnacentral:rRNA from 1 species